GACAGCCCUAAGCCGAGGGCGGGUUGUGGCUGCACCAGGACACCCGUGGAACGCCCGGGCCCCCUGGAAAGGUGCGGCCUCUGGAAAGCCAGGGGACACCCGUAGGAGCCCGGUGUGGCUGCCAGGUCACUCGCAGAACGUUGACCCGAUUACCCGUGGCAGGGAAAGAAGCUGCAGGCACUCACUGGAGCUGGCCAGGGCGUGAAUGAAGAGAGAAUGAACGGGCCAGAGCGAUAGUGCAGCAGGCAGGGUGUUUGCCUUGCACGGGGCCAACCUGGGUUCGAUCCCCCCUCCCCCCCAUAAGAUCCCCAGAUAAGCAAACAAAAAAGAAUGAACAGUGAAGGCCGCAGAGUCCUCUGUGCUCCAGCUCCAUCCACUGAAGCCUGAAGCCUGAUGUCCGUACAGUGGGGCUGGCCCUCUCCCUUAGGGUCCCCCAGACUCGAACUCUCACUAGCUUCCACACUGCAGGUAUAGGGGGCAGCUGUAGGCCCUCAGCAGACGCUGGACAGCCCCUCCUCUCAUGUCCUGCCCAGCCCCGAGGCCCCUCCUAGGCUAGCUUCCCGGCCCCCACACUGCCCUGCGGGGUUCUCUGUGGAUACCACAUGUAGCUGCACAUCUCAGCUCCCUAACCAGGCCCAACUCUGUGUUCAGGGUGCUGCCUGGCGCAUGGUAGCUACCCCAGACCCCAGGACACAGAUGACAGAGCCACGUGCAGGCUCCCCAGGGAGGUGGCUUUACCACUUCGGAGCUGUGUGACUUUGGGUAAAUUAGUUAGCCUCUCUGGACUUCAGUUCUCUCGCCUAUGAACGAACAGACCUUAGUGAAAUGAGCCAUGACACACCAUGAUGGAGGUUAACGAAAAGAACAGAAACAACUACAAUAAUGAACACGCUCCUGGCCUCCAGCUCCUGCUGCUUCCCCAGCUAAGGAAGCCCCGACUCCAGGACCAAGAGCUAAGAGCUCAUCGGAGAGCGCAGCCCAGGCCCUCUGCAGCAGGCCUCAGGUCAGCCUCGUCUUGCCUGCCUCUGAGGGGGUCCCAAGCUGGCCCACCUGGGCCCUGCCAGGAUGCACUCCAGCCCUAGGCACACGUGCCUCCUGGGAGCACCGGCACCACGCCUGGACUUCAGCCCGUAGGCAAGGGUCGCCCCAUGGAGCCACCAAUGUUUGCUGAGCUGACAGCCGGCUGCCGUCACCCCCGCCAGGGGUGCCUCUUCCACGGCCACCUUGCUCGCCCCCCCCGCCCUCCUUGGCCGGCCCGUGGCCCUGCCUGCUGCCUCUGAACCUACGGACGAGCUG